rnacentral:rRNA from 1 species
GAUCCUGGCUCAGAACGAACGCUGGCGGCAGGCCUAACACAUGCAAGUCGAGCGCGCCCUUCGGGGUGAGCGGCGGACGGGUUAGUAACGCGUGGGAACGUACCCUUUGGUAGGGAAUAGCCACUGGAAACGGUGAGUAACACCCUAUGAGCCCUUCGGGGGAAAGAUUUAUCGCCAAAGGAUCGGCCCGCGUUAGAUUAGGUAGUUGGUGGGGUAAUGGCCUACCAAGCCUACGAUCUAUAGCUGGUUUUAGAGGAUGAUCAGCAACACUGGGACUGAGACACGGCCCAGACUCCUACGGGAGGCAGCAGUGGGGAAUCUUGGACAAUGGGGGCAACCCUGAUCCCAGCCAUGCCGCGUGAGUGAAGAAGGCCUUAGGGUCGUAAAGCUCUUUCGCCUGUGAAGAUAAUGACGGUAGCAGGUAAAGAAACCCCGGCUAACUCCGUGCCAGCCGCAGC